AGAGUUUGAUCAUGGCUCAGGAUAAACGCUGGCGGCGUGCCUAACACAUGCAAGUCGAACGCCCUACGCAAGUAGGGAGUGGCGGACGGGUGAGGAACACGUGAGUACCUACCCUUCAGUGAGGAAUACCGGCGAGAAAUCGCCGACAAGACCGCAUACGUUUCGAAAGAAAGAAAGCCCGCAAGGGCGCUGGAGGAUGG
rnacentral:rRNA from 1 species